UNCACAGAGAAAGAUAUCCAGGCCAAGCCUUC
rnacentral:piRNA from 1 species